rnacentral:rRNA from 1 species
AUGUUCUUCAUGGCAAGCAUACCAUUUGCUUGCGCCAAGCCGAUUUGGAAAUCCAAAGCCCCGCCAAGAUGCAAGUUUUUCAUGUGGUUGGUGGUCCACCGCCGAUGCCUCACCGCAGACAAACUACAGCGCAGGCAUUGGCCAUCUAACCCCUACUGCCCACUAUGCCUUAUUGAACCGGAGGACUGCGAGCACCUCUUCAUUCACUGCAGGUUCACCCAACGGGUUUGGAGUCUCUUCAGGCUGUGGACGAGGGGGGCUUUCAUCACGCCACACGAUGGAUUCACUUCGACCGAGGAGUGGUGGCUCACCUCCAGGAAAGGGAACCCGAAGCCAAUGAGAAUGAACUUUGACACAAUCACCAUCCUAAUCCAUUGGCGGGUUUGGAAGGAGCGUAAUGCGAGGAUAUUCGACCAGAUCGCCAGUGCUACGGAGAGGGUCCUUGAUCUUAUUAGAGAGGACAUAGCGACAUGGCGUGCCACUGGAUGCAUUGCUGACCUAGCAGCAUAA